rnacentral:rRNA from 6 species
AGUCAUAUGCUUGUCUCAAAGAUUAAGCCAUGCAUGUCUCAGUACAAGCCAAAUUAAGGUGAAACCGCGAAAGGCUCAUUAAAUCAGUUAUGGUUCCUUAGAUCGUACCCACUUUUACUUGGAUAACUGUGGUAAUUCUAGAGCUAAUACAUGCAAAUAGAGCCCCGACCGGAGACGGAAGGGGUGCUUUUAUUAGAUCAAAACCAAUCGGCGACGGGUCAAACCGUUGUCGUAAUAUUUGGUGACUCUGAAUAACUUUGUGCUGAUCGCACGGUCUAGCACCGGCGACGCAUCUUUCAAAUGUCUGCCUUAUCAACUGUCGAUGGUAGGUUCUGCGCCUACCAUGGUUGUAACGGGUAACGGGGAAUCAGGGUUCGAUUCCGGAGAGGGAGCCUGAGAAACGGCUACCACAUCCAAGGAAGGCAGCAGGCGCGCAAAUUACCCACUCCCGGCACGGGGAGGUAGUGACGAAAAAUAACGAUACGGGACUCAUCCGAGGCCCCGUAAUCGGAAUGAGUACAUUUUAAAAUCCUUAACAAGGAUCAAUUGGAGGGCAAGUCUGGUGCCAGCAGCUGCGGUAAUUCCAGCUCCAAUAGCGUAU